GGGGAUUUGGCUCAGCGGUAGAGCGCUUGCCUAGCAAGCGCGAGGCCCUGGGUUCGGUCCCCAGCUCCG
rnacentral:tRNA from 1 species